rnacentral:tRNA from 1 species
GCCUGGGUGGCUCAGUCGGUUAAGCUUCUGACUUGGGCUCAGGUCAUGAUCUCAUGGUUUUGUGGGUUCGAGCCCCACGUCGGGCU